rnacentral:lncRNA from 1 species
CCCCUUCGUCCCGACUUCGAACCUGGCCAGGUCUCCAACGUUGCGCACACUUCGGCUACACGUUUCGCCGCGGCCUUCGAACCGUGCGUUGGAGAUGCUCUUAGAGCGUCUCCGAAGUAUAGCAUGAUUUUGCAUACAAACGUGCAAUUCUAGCACAAUCUCUUUUUUCAUAGCAACUCAAAUAAUUGAGUUAUUAGCGUCUAAAUACACCAUCUUUUGGGAUAAUUUGGUUUUGCAUACAAACGUGCAAUUCUAGCCCAAUAUUUUUUUUAUAGCAACCUAAAUAAUUGGGUUAUUAACGCCACAUAUACACACAUCGGUUGUAUAUAAUAUGACUUUCAAUUAUUCAGACAUUGAACAUUUUUACAGAAAU